UUGCAAGUGUACCUAUAAGAACUGAUGCUGGUUUAAAGGCAAAGGGUAGUAGCACUAAAUAUUGAUGUGAUUUAGAUG